UACAGAGGGUGCGAGCGUUAAUCGGAGUUACUGGGCGUAAAGGGCGCGUAGGCGGUUAUAUAAGAUUGGUGUGAAAUCCCUGGGCUUAACCUAGGAACUGCAUCGAUUACUGUAUGACUGGAGUAUUGUAGAGGGUAGUGGAAUUUCCGGUGUAGCGGUGAAAUGCGUAGAGAUCGGAAGGAACACCAGUGGCGAAGGCGGCUACCUGGACAAAUACUGACGCUGAGGCGCGAGAGCGUGGGGAGCAAACAGG
rnacentral:rRNA from 1 species